UACGAAGGGGGCUAGCGUUGUUCGGAUUCACUGGGCGUAAAGGGUGCGCAGGUGGGUUUGCAAGUUCGAUGUGAAAGCCCCGGGCUUAACCCGGGAAUGGCAUUGGAUACUGCAGAUCUGGAGGAUCGGAGGGGGGACUGGAAUUCUUGGUGUAGAGGUGAAAUUCGUAGAUAUCAGGAGGAACACCAGUGGCGAAGGCGGCUUUCUGGACGGUAACUGACGCUGAGACGCGAAAGCGUGGGGAGCAAACAGG
rnacentral:rRNA from 1 species